GUUUUGCCUGAGUGUGUUGUUGGAGCCUCACCAGGAUAUGAAGAGCUGCUGGGGAAGAGAGAAGGAAAAAGCUCAAAGAACACCUCAAACUGCUCCCAUCACCUACAGUUCCUGCAGGUCUGGACAAUAAUGUUUGUGUUAAAGUUUGCAUAAAUAACAGAUCCAGAAAUGGAUAAAGGCUAAUGAGGCCUCCUUCCUUCCACAGAUAGUGUGAGGGACCCAAUUCUCAGCCUCCAUAAACCAACCCAGCUUCACUGAAGUCUAUGCAGUUCUGCUGCUCAUCAGCUUUGACUUCAUCUUCUGACCUUCUGGAUCUUCUGUUCUUUUACAUCGGGUUCAGGCUUGUUCCCUGACCUUCAAAGUUUGACAAAGCUCCACUCUGACCUUGAUCUUUUUCCUUAUCUCAUCUGAACCUGCUUGCAAGAAGUGAUGUCACUGUGCUUGGUUUAAGAAUCACCUGGGAUUCAUGAUAAAACAGUGACUUCAGAACAACACUCCUCCCAGAGCCUUGUACUUGAAGCAUUGAUUUUUGCUUCCUAUUACCAUAGCAACAAGAGUCCAUCUCUUCAGAAACUAGCCAGUGGAAACUACAAAAGGAGCAAAGUUCUUGAGUGCCUUGCUUCAGUCAAGGGAAAAGAAACUGAUGGAUUUGGGUAACUAUCUGCUGAGUAGGCUCCACAAGUUUCUUCCUUCCAUAUACCCAAUGCUUUGAGAGAUCUCCACCCCACCAUUGCUUUGCAUGUUUGUUCUUUGCUGCUAUCAAGGCAGAAUAUGGGAACAGCAUUUGCCGUCUGCAAGCUUGUCACCUUUUGUGCAUUUCAACAGUGUGCUUAGCAGUCCAGUAGUAGGCUAACACAGAAUCAGUUUUCAGGAGUUAAGCCAUGAGUGGAGCCAUCUUCUGACUCUAUUAUGUGGAGACAAGUUGCCUUUGGAAGAGGAACCUGUUGAGUCAGUUGCUACUGUUUUAUUAAAAAAAAAAAACCCCAACCAACCAAAAAAACCUUUUACUUAUGUCGAGUUGAGACUAUUAAACAACAGCCAGUUGCUUU